GGUUUCAAUUGAGGGAACUUGAAUAUGCAAGUAUUUAAGGGAGGAUAGAUUAUCCAGCAGAUCGGAUGAAGACUUUAGACUACAAGAAUGAACAGACAACCUAUCAAGUUGACCCGGUAACUCAGUGAAGUCACUAAUCUUGAGAGAGGUAAGAUCCGUGGCAUUCAUAAUCAAAGGUGUGAGCAAAGUAACAUUAGUUCCUCCAAUAUGUAGAUCUUUUAGAGAUUGAAGCAUUGGCAGUUUAACCAACUUAGGACAGUCAUUGAUAGUUAAUGAACUCAGGAGAGGAAAAUGUUCUCUACCAUUCACUGUUGUCCAUUCCUCCAAACAUGGCGCCUUACGUAUACUGAGAACCUUGAGUGAUGGAAAAGAACUUUCCAUAUCACCAUAGAAGCUGUUGUCAAUAUACUUCAGAGCACCCAUUCCACUAAUAUAAAGGAACUUAAGGAAGCGCAAUUUCCCUAGAGGUGGUAGUUGAUGGUAUCUUUCACAGUUUUCUAGUGAGAUUUCAACAAGUUUUGGUAGAGGCAGAUCCAUCAUCCAAUAUGGAAACAUCAAACCUUGGUAACCAACAAUGCGUAACUUCUUCAAGUUUGAAUGAGGUUGGAGAGCACUAAGAAUCUCUUCAUCAUUUUGAUGAUGAGAGUUCUCGGUGCUGCAUACUCGCGAACAUAAGUUGCUGCUUUCUGGCCAAGAUAAGCUAAGUGCUUUUAAAUUGUGCUUCUUUAUCAAAUUUGCAUUUUUAGCUUCCAUCAAACUCUUCACGUUGUGAAGUCCUUUGAUGCUUAAUUCCCCCUCUAGGGCCAACUCUUUCAACUCAUCAAUGCCGCAACCAUCUUCCUUUCCCACAAUGAACAUGCUAAGCUUGCGUAAAAAAGACAAUUGUCCCAAUGCAACAGGCGUGGAAGUUAGUGCAUAGCAACGUCUGAUGUCGAAGUACCUAAGAUUUUUCAAGUUCUUCAUACCUUCGGGUAACUUUUUAAGAGGCCAACAAUUUAUGAGGCUUAGUGUCUGCAAGUUAUGAAGAGAGCUUGUUGAUUCAGGUAAAGUUUUCAAAGGAGAAUGGUGAAGGCGAAGAUACCUCAAGUGUUUCGAAAUUUUAAAUGAAAUAUUGCCAAAAUUAUAACCCAAAUCCAACACCUUGAGAUACUUUUGUUUGCUGAAGAAACGGGAACGAUUAGAGAGGUUACUGCAAUCAUUGCCCACGAUCAAAGAUUGCAGCGGUUGCAAUGUGGUUAAGUCCACAACGCUUGUCGAUAGACUGCUAUUAUUAACAAACAAGUGACGAGCAGUUUUUGGAAUUUGUGUCCCCUCAUUUGGCUCAAUCACACAGCACUCUUGUCCCAUAAUCGAUGUUGCAAGAUCAUGGAUGAGAUCAUGCAUUUUACAUGUAACAGUUCCAUCGAUAUCCUCAUCGAUUUCUUGAAAAAAGGACCUCCAAGUUAAUUCAGAGAAUAUUUCACAACCCAUAUCAUGCAAAUCCAAUGCUCCUCGAGAAGGAAUAAAUCCAUUUGCCAUCCAUAGUCCUAUAAGCUCGUCCUUUGUCAUGACAGAAUCUUUGGGAAAUAUCGAGCAAAAUGAAAAACAUUGUUUCAUAUACGGUGGAAGAUUUUCAUAACUUAGCCUCAACACAGCUAAGAUUCUGCUUCCCUCAUCUUCCAAAUCCCAUAUCUCACUAUCUUUGACACGUAGCCAUUCACUUUCUUGACUUUUAAAACGCAAUAUGCUUCCUAUGGCCUUAAUUGCCAACGGUACCCCUCCACAUCUCUGCACUAUUUGCCUCCCAAUGGUUUCCAGGUCAGCAUUGGUUCCGUUCGUUCCCAUCCCAAAGGCUCUUUGCUUGAAUAAAGACCAAGAAUCAUCAUCCGAUAAACAUCCCAAGCGAUACAAAGGAGUUGUAGCCAUCAUAAGAGCAACUUUCUCGAGUCGAGUAGUGACAAUCACUGUACUUCCUUUCCGUCCACACUGUAGAGCUUGUUUCAAUCUAUCAAACUUGUCGUGGUACUCAUUCCACACAUCAUCUAGUACGAGCAAAAACCGUUUCCCAACAAGCUUCUCUACUAAACACCGCUGCAGGGGAUCUAGCUCUUGGAUAUCACCCCAGUUCCCUCCAAAGGAUUCCACAAUCGCUUUAGUCAACCUUUUUAUAUCAAAAUCAUCAGAUACACACACCCAACCUCUCAAAUCGAAGACUUUGGCCACAUUUUCGUCAUUGUAAACCAAUUGAGCAAUUGUUGUCUUACCAAGACCCCCCAUUCCGCAUAUUGCAUAAACAGAGAGGUCAUCAUGGUGACUCACAUUACAAAGUAACAUACUAACUAUUUUUUCCUUCUCAUCAGCUCUGCCAAAUACUUCCGAUUCUUUCACAAGGGAGCUGGUUUGCCUAUCCUCAUUCCGUUCAAUUUCAGCUUCUCCCACACCCUCUCUCAAGUGGAACUUACUUUUCUCUCCAGCAAUGGCAUCUAAUUUCUCCCUUAAAUUCUUCAACUUACGUGCCAUAUCUAAGCGAAACAAGAGCGGAUUCCGCAAAGAAAAGAAGCUGGUUACCUGGCUUCUUGCAUCCGUAUGCAGGCUACGACUUAGAGCUUCGGUGUUGAAAUCUUCGAGCACAACUUCCAGAUCGUAAGCUGCUUGUUUGAGCUUCCCAAGCCAGUUCUUGAUAGCUUCACUCUUCCGUUGCUUCUCCUCUGCAUCUUGGAGCACAGCUUGGAUUGUAGUAAGAGUACUUUCAAGACUCUCAACUUCUGUUUUGAGGCUCCCAGCAAGUUCCAGCCCUUUCAAGGACCACGAGUUCAAGCCGUCCAACAUGGCACCGACAAGGGGUGAAAGAAAUACCUCUGCCAUGUCCAAUCUCUCUUAAAAUUUCACAGCCAGCAAAGUAGCAAUUGGUAACUAAGGAACCAACUAUGGGUAUAUUCAAAGACAAAGAAAGAAGCAAUUUCACAUAAAUUUGUAUCAGCCUGAAUGAGUAAACAAAGAAAAGCUACUGUUUCUAGUUAGGGUUAACAAUGGAUUGGACUGACUUGACCUUGUAUGCAUAUGAACCAAACUUUUUAUUAUGGCAAUAAACUAUGUGGAAAAAGGGAAAGAAAGUAGAAACUAGAAAGCAUUGAAAAUAAUGCAUAUGUGUGCAGGAGUGUAGGACCAAGUGUCAAGAAUUACAUUGCACUUUCCUUGCAAUUCCAAGGAAAGAAAUAAUGUACACUUAAUCAUACCAAAUGCAUAUGCGUAUGCAUUGAGAAUAAUGCACAUGCGUGUAGGACCAGCCGCGAAGAAAAUAGAAAGAAAUGCUAAAGAAUAUUAUUCUUUUUAUUUUAAUUAUUGGGUUAUUAAAGUUGUUAUCAUUUCAUUUUUUUGUUAGUACAAUCUAACACUAAUUGAAAGUUUUUAUUCCCUUUAAAAAUUUAAAGAUUUACGAAUCAAAAUUCAUCUAGCUUUAUUUUCUAUUUUUUGACACUGAUCGUUAGAUCGACAUGAAUUUAAGGUGUAUUUCUUUACUCAUUGAUGUGUACUAAUCUAUCAUAUUGGUCGUUCAAUCAAUGCUUGAAGCUCACUAACCAGAUUUUUUACAAAAAAACUUAACAACCUAAUGAAUUAAAUAAAAACUUUCGAAAAAUUCUGUAAUGAUUGUUUUCACAUUUUUUAAAUAGUGAUAAAAAAUUAAAUUUGCUAAUAGUUUAAUGAUCUUGGCCGUAUUUAUUAUAAUUAAAAUAAAGAAUUAUAAAACAAAAUCAAAUUAAUAUUUGAAAAAUAUCCAAAAUCAAACUAAAAUUAUUGGACCGAAAAUUUUAAACAAAAUUAAAUCUAAAAACAACUUGCACUUGAUUUUCAAGGUACGGGUGAGCAAAAUUCAAUUCUAUUAAAAAAACUCGAUAAAAUUUUUAAAUUUUGAAUUAAAUAGUUCGAGUUAUUUGAGUUAAUCACGUUAUUUGGAUCAACUCGAAUAAAAAAAUUAAAUUUUUCGGUUUAACUCGAAUAUGAAUUACACAAUUUGAAUUAUCCGAAAAUCCAAAUAAGAAAAAGUAAAACUACGCCGUUUUGAUAAAUGUUUACCUUUUCUAAAGUUAAAAGUCAAAACUAUUGAGUUAAUAAGCAAAACUACGUUGUUUUGAUAAAUGUUUACUCAUUAAUUUAAAAGGUAAAACCAUUAUAUUGUUUGUGUAGUUAAAUAAUUUUGUACUUCGUUUACUAGUUAAAUAAUCGGUUCAUGUAAAUGCAACAUUGAGUAUAAAUAAUAAGAUUCGUUAACUUGACUCGAAAUUAUUUAACUCGAUUCGAUCCGAUUAAAAAAAUUCAUAUUGAGUUCGGUUGCUAAAAUAUGAUUCGUCAACUCGAUUAAAUCAAAAUUUUUGACUCGAUUCGACUUGACUCGAUCAAAUACUCACCCCUAUUUCAAGGCCCUCAUUUUUACAACUAGUAUCAAAGUCUUAUCAAUGUAUAUAAAUAUAAAUUUAAUUUAUAUAAUUCAUGAAAGAUUCUCCAUAUAUAUAUAUGAUCUAUAAAUUAAAAAAAAAUAAUGGGAUGAGAAAAUAAUGGACAGAAAUUUAACAAUUAUUUCUGAAAAAAAAAAUCCCAUAAUUUAAAGCUUGUUUUCUAGUAAGAAAACGAAGAAAAAAAAACCGAUAAGCACUGACAUUUUUGGUACCACAAUACAACCAAAUUGGUCAUAGAAAAAGACCGGCCACCGGCCAUCACCUUUUCUCACCAUAUCCUUUUCUUAGAUGUAAUUUUUUGGUUACCAAACUUCGUAAUUAGAUUCGAUUUGGUAUUUGAAUUUUCUUUUUAGUCUAUACUAGUUUUGGAAUUGAACAUUUUUUUUUUAAUUUUGCCCUUAAAUUUAUAUUUUGUUAAAGCAUGGUGAUUUGAUAUUUUGAAAAAUUUUUAAGUUAUUAUAUCUCUCAAUAAAGUAGUUGAUAAAUUUGAAUCUAAGAUAUGUUUUUCUACUCGUCGAUGUGUAUUAAUUUACUAUAUGAUCGUUGAAUCGAUGCUUGAAGCUCACUAACCGGACUUCUUAAAAAAACUUCACAGCUCGGUAACUUAAAUAAGAUGUUUCAAAUUAAAAUUUUCGAAUAAUUCAGUGAUGAUUUUAUAACUUUUUAAAAUAGUGUCUGAAACGUAAAUUUGCUAAUAAGUUAAUUGUCUUUUGGAUGUUUGAUAAUGUAUUUGUGCGGAUAAAGAUGAAGUUUGGUCUAAUAUGUAAUUCAAUACAUGGAUUUUAAUUUGGUGCAAUUAUAAAUAUGAAAUUUGAAUUUGAAUUUGAUUUAAUUGUUUACAUUUAAAGAAAUAAAUACAUACAUUUAUUUUCGUAUUGGAUUAAUAUAAUUGUUUGUAUGCAAUAUAACUUAAAAUGAUGUUAAUGUUGUUAAUGAUUUGUAAAAAAUGAAUCAUUAAAUUUUCAUGUACGACAUUACACAUCAUAUUAAAGUUCAACGCAUAAAUUUGAUAUUUAUGCAUAUGUUUGUUUUGGCUAAUAUGCCAAUUUAAGUUUUGAGAAGAAAGAUAGUUGCCUUUCAGCUGUUUGAUAAUAUGUUUGUUAGGCUAAUUCAAGUUUUAGAAGAAGAAAUGUAAGACCCAAAGACAAGCUAAGAAGUAUGAUUAGCAAUUUCCAUAUAAUGCUUUGAAAUUUUUGGUUGAGGAGUAUCUUCAAGGGAAUCCAUUAUGGUUGCAGUACAUGAAAGUUUCAUUGGUGACAUUGGGGUAUGAAACGAGUUAUGAUGUAUUCGUGAAAGCUCACGGAGGUGGGCUUUCGGGACAGGCAUAGGCAAUCUCACUCGGCAUUGCUCGUGCAUUGCUGAAGGUGAGUGCCGAUCAUAGGAGUCCGUUGAAGAAAGAAGGACUUUUGACUAGAGAUUCAAGGAUGGUGGAGAGGAAGAAAGUUGGUCUCAAGAAUGCUCGUAAAGCUCCACAGUUUUCCAAACGUUAAGUGGAUGGAAAACUGGGGAUAUAUAUACAUUGCUUUCAUGGUUGGUUUUGUAGAAAAUCUUUUCUUCUCAGUAACAUUUGCUGAUGAAUUUUUUUUUUUACAAAAUUCUAAAUUGAAGAAGAACCCCUUUUGAUAAUGUAGAUCUUGUUCUUGAUUGGUUGUGAUUAUGAAUAUUUCUCUUGCAUUUCAUGUGAGGAUUGUUGAUCCUUAGUCUAUUGUUACUUAAGGGUGCAUGUACCAUUGAGGUAUCUAUACUAUGAGAUCAGAUUGUAUUUCGUUCUUUUUACUACAUUAGAUCGAAGAGGAAAUUGAUUUUUUUUUCUUGUUAAAAGUUUUAUUCAUUUUAAUUGUUAAAAGCUAUAAGCUCAAGUCAAAUUUUCAUCAUUAAGUGCAUUUAUAGCUUACACUAUAUGGAUUGCGUAAUGCAAUUGACAAAAGAAUACCAUCCAAAGGGUCCUAGAAGUGAAUUUCAAAAAUAGUAUAAGCUAAUUUUUAUAUAUAUUAUUUUUCUAAAAAAGUUAAUAUUUUUUGUAUUUAAAUGAAUCUAAGUAAAAUAUUUUUUAUUGUUUGACAGAUUUUUUAAAAAUAUUUUAUAAAAUUGUUUUCAAUACGAAAAAAACAUACAUUUGAAAUUUAUGAUAAGUAGUGAAUUGAUUACAGAAGUGAAUUGAUUACAGAGUGAUAUUAAGAUGAAAUUAUAGUAAAUAAUAAAUCUUCAUGAUGUUAAAUUUUAUAAUGAAUUAUCUUACUAAAGUGUUUAUAUGGUGAAAAAUAAAUUACAUGGCAAUAGGGACUAAAUUGAAAAAUGGACAAAAUUUUAAGUAUGAAACAAUUUAAUACAUGAAUAAGGAAACUAUGAUAAAAAUUUAACGAAUGUGUUAUGAGAUGAUAAAAUAUGCAUAAAGUAUUGUAAAAGUGAAAUUGUGAAAAAAUAUAAAAUUUUUACCAUGACAAUGACUAAAUUGUUAAACUUGAAAAAAUAUAUGGAUUAAUUAAUAAAAGUAAAAUACAUAGAACUAUAAUACAAAUUACAAAUAAUACAUAUCCGACCAACUAAAAUUAAUAUCAAUUCAACACAAAACCACGCAUAAACUUGGCACAUCAAAAUCCCAAUACCAACGAAGCCACCAACAUGAUGCCUUUACACAAAUACAUAAUAGAGUUUAACAAAGUUAUGUGUGAUAACUGAUGAGCUUAAGAAGUUAGAAGCUAAAAUUAUUUGCCAUCUACUUAUUCUUACCUGCUCUUAUGGGGAAUAGAAUUCGUCUGUGAGUUUAAUGCAAUGUUGUCAUUUUUCUUCAAAUUGCAAAAUAGGUCCUCGAAUUUAACGAAAGUCGUCACUCACCAACGCUGAAAAUGUAUUUAGACAUCAUAUCAGAAAUUCAUCAAAUGAGAACUAUUAAUAACAGAUAUGAAUGAAUGAUACUGUAGAUGUAGAGAUCCUUAUUCACAAUGAUCUUGAAUGUGAUUAGAAUUAAGAAUAUUGUUAUUUAAAAUUAAAUUUCAAAAGUAGAGAAUCACCUUGUUAAAGAUUUCAAUGGACGGAAUGUGGGCUAUGUUGGGCCAAUCCUCUCCUCUCAAUUUCUUACACCGUCUUUGCAGAUGGGGGCAUCCACUGAUCGUUAGCUUUUGCAGCGCAGUGAGGUUACGUACCCCUUGAGGCAAUGACAUCAAAUUAUAGCAAUGCUCUAUCUCCAAUUCUGAAAGCAAGGUGAGGUGUUGUAUCUCAUCUGGGAGAGAAAUUAAACCGCUACAAUUACAAAUACUCAGAUAUCGAAGAGAAGAGAGGUACUGGAUACUCCUUGGCAAUGAGGUCAACUCUGGACGUCCAUUAAUAAGAAAGUCUUGGAGUGAAGUCAGAUAUCCCACACCCUCAGAUAAAGAGGCUAAUGUCUUACAAUUUUGAAUCCGUAGUGAAGAUAAGGAAGAUAAGCCUUGCAAUCCAUUUACCGGAAGGGAUACAAGGCUGUCACAACAAUUUAAAUGCAAAGUUUUUAAAGAGCUGAGGUUUUGUAGUCCUACAGGCAAGCUUUCAAUUGAGCAACCACGAAUUUCCAAAUAUUUAAGGGAGGAUAGAUUAUCCAGCAGAUCGGAUGAAGACUUUAGACUACAAGAACGAACAUAUAAGCUACCAAGUUGCUUUUGAUUUUGCAAUAGUCCGUCCGGUAACUCAGUGAAGCCACUAAUCGAGAGAGAGGUAAGAACCGUGGCAUUCAUAAUCAAAGGUGUGAGCAAAGUAACAUUAGUUCCUCCAAUAUGUAGAUCUUUUAGAGAUUGAAGCAAUGGCAGUUUAACCAACUUAGGACAAGAAUAAAUAGUUAAUGAACUCAGGACAGGAAAAU
rnacentral:lncRNA from 1 species